rnacentral:tRNA from 1 species
CGGCGACUGGCUGGGCCUGCUGGCCGGCGCGGCGUUCGCGUCGUCGCAGGUGUCCGGUUCGACCGCCAAGGGCGCCGC